UGGGGAAUUUUGGACAAUGGGGGAAACCCUGAUCCAGCCAUCCCGCGUGUGCGAUGAAGGCCUUCGGGUUGUAAAGCACUUUUGGCAGGAAAGAAACGUCACGGGUUAAUACCCCGCGAAACUGACGGUACCUGCAGAAUAAGCACCGGCUAACUACGUGCCAGCAGCCGCGGUAAUACGUAGGGUGCAAGCGUUAAUCGGAAUUACUGGGCGUAAAGCGUGCGCAGGCGGUUCGGAAAGAAAGAUGUGAAAUCCCAGAGCUUAACUUUGGAACUGCAUUUUUAACUACCGGGCUAGAGUGUGUCAGAGGGAGGUGGAAUUCCGCGUGUAGCAGUGAAAUGCGUAGAUAUGCGGAGGAACACCGAUGGCGAAGGCAGCCUCCUGGGAUAACACUGACGCUCAUGCACGAAAGCGUGGGGGAGCAAACAGGAUUAGAUACCCUGGUAGUCCACGCCCUAAACGAUGUCAACUAGCUGUUGGGGCCUUCGGGCCUUGGUAGCGCAGCUAACGCGU
rnacentral:rRNA from 1 species